UACGAAGGGGGCUAGCGUUGCUCGGAAUCACUGGGCGUAAAGCGCACGUAGGCGGCUUUUAAGUCAGGGGUGAAAUCCUGGAGCUCAACUCCAGUAACUGCCUUUGAUACUGAGAAGCUUGAGUCCGGGAGAGGUGAGUGGAACUGCGAGUGUAGAGGUGAAAAUUCGUAGAUAUUCGCAAGAACACCAGUGGCGAAGGCGGACUCAC
rnacentral:rRNA from 1 species